AGAGUUUGAUCCUGGCUCAGAACGAACGUUAGCGGCGCGCCUAACACAUGCAAGUCGCACGAGAAAGGGCUUCGGCCCCGGUACAGUGGCGCACGGGUGAGUAACACGUGGGUAAUGUUCCCUCGGGCAGGGGAUAACCUUCCGAAAGGAGGGCUAAUACCGUAUAAGACCACGGCCUCGAAAGGGGCUGAGGUAAAAGCAGGCCUCUUCAUGAAAGCUUGCACCUGAGGAUCAGCCCGCGGCCCAUCAGCUAGUUGGCAGGGUAACGGCCUACCAAGGCUAAGACGGGUAGCUGGUCUGAGAGGAUGAUCAGCCACACUGGAACUGAGACACGGUCCAGACUCCUACGGGAGGCAGCAGUGGGGAAUCUUGCGCAAUGGGCGAAAGCCUGACGCAGCGACGCCGCGUGGGUGAUGAAGGCCUUCGGGUUGUAAAGCCCUGUGGGGAGAGACGAAUAAGUCGGAGCCAAUACCUCCGGCGAUGACGGUAUCUCCUUAGCAAGCACCGGCUAACUCUGUGCCAGCAGCCGCGGUAAGACAGAGGGUGCAAACGUUGUUCGGAAUUACUGGGCGUAAAGCGUGUGUAGGCGGCCGCGCAAGUCGGAUGUGAAAGCCCCGGGCUCAACCCGGGAAGUGCACCCGAAACUGCAUGGCUCGAGUACCGGAGAGGUUGGUGGAAUUCUCGGUGUAGAGGUGAAAUUCGUAGAUAUCGAGAGGAACACCGGUGGCGAAGGCGGCCAACUGGACGAGUACUGACGCUGAGACACGAAAGCGUGGGGAGCAAACAGGAUUAGAUACCCCUGUAGUCC
rnacentral:rRNA from 1 species